UGGGGAAUCUUGGACAAUGGGCGAAAGCCUGAUCCAGCCAUGCCGCGUGAGUGAAGAAGGCCCUAGGGUUGUAAAGCUCUUUCAGCGGGGAAGAUAAUGACGGUACCCGCAGAAGAAGCCCCGGCUAACUUCGUGCCAGCAGCCGCGGUAAUACGGAGGGAGCUAGCGUUGUUCGGAAUUACUGGGCGUAAAGCGCACGUAGGCGGCCAAUCAAGUCAGGGGUGACAUCCCGGGGCUCAACCCCGGAACUGCCCUUGAAACUGGUAGGCUAGAAUACUGGAGAGGUGAGUGGAAUUCCGAGUGUAGAGGUGAAAUUCGUAGAUAUUCGGAAGAACACCAGUGGCGAAGGCGACUCACUGGACAGUUAUUGACGCUGAGGUGCGAAAGCGUGGGGAGCAAACAGGAUUAGAUACCCCCGUAGUCC
rnacentral:rRNA from 1 species